ensembl:snoRNA
GAUCUCCUGGUGCUUACCACCAGCUGUGUGCUUGCACUGACUGUACAGAAAAAGAGACAAGGUAAACACACCCCACAUAUGCCUCAGACUAGGCCCUGUGCCUGGUCUAUAUUGUGAAUAGGGGAGACAUAG